AUUGAACGCUGGCGGCAUGCCUUACACAUGCAAGUCGAACGGUAACAGGUUAAGCUGACGAGUGGCGAACGGAUGAGUAAUAUAUCGGAACGUGCCCAGUCGUGGGGGAUAACGUAGCGGAAGCUACGCUAAUACCGCAUACGAUCUACGGAUGAAAGCGGGGGAUCGCAAGACCUCGCGCGAUUGGAGCGGCCGAUAUCAGAUUAGGUUGUUGGUGAGGUAAAAGCUCACCAAGCCUGCGAUCUGUAGCUGGUCUGAGAGGACGACCAGCCACACUGGAACUGAGACACGGUCCAGACUCCUACGGGAGGCAGCAGUGGGGAGUUUUGGACAAUGGACGCAAGUCUGAUCCAGCAAUGCCGCGUGCAGGACGAAGGCCUUCGGGUUGUAAACUGCUUUUGUACGGAACGAAACGGUGAGCUCUAAUACGGUUUGCUAAUGACGGUACCGUAAGAAUAAGCACCGGCUAACUACGUGCCAGCAGCCGCCGUAA
rnacentral:rRNA from 1 species